UACGUAGGGUGCGAGCGUUGUCCGGAAUUAUUGGGCGUAAAGGGCUCGUAGGCGGUUUGUCGCGUCGGGAGUGAAAACCCCGGGCUUAACUCGGUGCUUGCUUUCGAUACGGGCAGACUAGAGGCAUGCAGGGGAGAACGGAAUUCCUGGUGUAGCGGUGAAAUGCGCAGAUAUCGAGAGGAACACCGGUGGCGAAGGCGGCAUCCUGGACCGGCAUUGACGCUGAGGAGCGAAAGCCAGGGGAGCAAACGGG
rnacentral:rRNA from 1 species